UCCUACGGGAGGCAGCAGUGGGGAAUAUUGGACAAUGGGCGCAAGCCUGAUCCAGCCAUGCCGCGUGAGUGAUGAAGGCCUUAGGGUUGUAAAGCUCUUUCACCGGAGAAGAUAAUGACGGUAUCCGGAGAAGAAGCCCCGGCUAACUUCGUGCCAGCAGCCCGCGGUA
rnacentral:rRNA from 1 species